rnacentral:rRNA from 1 species
GAUGAACGCUGGCGGCGUGCCUAAUACAUGCAAGUCGAGCGACCAGACGAGGAGCUUGCUCCUCUGACGUUAGCGGCGGACGGGUGAGUAACACGUGGAUACCCUACCUAUAAGACUGGGAUAACUUCGGGAAACCGGAGCUAAUACCGGAUAAUAUAUUGAACCGCAUGGUUCAAUAGUGAAAGACGGUUUUGCUGUCACUUAUAGAUGGAUCCGCGCCGCAUUAGCUAGUUGGUAAGGUAACGGCUUACCAAGGCAAUGAUGCGUAGCCGACCUGAGAGGGUGAUCGGCCACACUGGAACUGAGACACGGUCCAGACUCCUACGGGAGGCAGCAGUAGGGAAUCUUCCGCAAUGGGCGAAAGCCUGACGGAGCAACGCCGCGUGAGUGAUGAAGGUCUUCGGAUCGUAAAACUCUGUUAUUAGGGAAGAACAAAUGUGUAAGUAACUAUGCACGUCUUGACGGUACCUAAUCAGAAAGCCACGGCUAACUACGUG